rnacentral:rRNA from 1 species
ACCCGUGAGGGAUCCUGGAGGUAUCAGAAGUGCGAAUGCUGACAUAAGUAACGAUAAAAGAAGUGAAAAACUUCUUCGCCGAAAAUCCAAGGGUUUCUGCGCAAGGUUAAUCCGCGCAGAGUUAGUCGGCACCUAAGGCGAGGGCGAAAGCCGUAGUCGAUGGAAAUAAGGUUAAUAUUCCUUAACCAGAUGGUAGUGACGGAUCUUGUAAGUUGUGAGUUCUUAAUGGAUUGAACUUGCCGCGAAAAGGUUCCAAGAAAUAGCUCCAUCAUUAGACCGUACCCUAAACCGACACAGGUGGAUUAAUAGAGUAUAUUUAGGCGCUUGAGAGAAUGAUGUUGAAGGAACUCGGCAAAAUGCUUCCGUAACUUCGGGAUAAGGAAGACCUUUUUGUAGGCAACUAUGAAAGGGUGGCACAAGCCAGGGAGAAGCGACUGUUUAUCAAAAACACAGGGCUCUGCUAACACGUAAGUGGAUGUAUAGGGUCUGACGCCUGCCCGGUGCUGGAAGGUUAAUGCGAUGGGUGCAAGCUCAUUUCUGAAGCCCCAGUAAACGGCGGCCGUAACUAUAACGGUCCUAAGGUAGCGAAAUUCCUUGUCGGGUAAGUUCCGACCUGCAUGAAUGGCGUAACGAUUUCUCCGCUGUCUCCAACAUCAACUCAGUGAAAUUGAAUUCUCCGUGAAGAUGCGGAGUUCGCGUAGUUAGACGGAAAGACCCCGUGCACCUUUACUGCAACUUUACAUUGGUGUUAGGAAAAACAUAUUUAGCAUAGGAGGGAGACAUUGAAGCAAAGGCGUCAGCUUUUGUGGAGUCACCAGUGAAAUACCUCUUUUGUUUUUCUUGAUAUCUAACUGAUUGCCGUCAUCCGGCAUCAAGACAUUGUAUGGUGGGUAGUUUGACUGGGGCGGUCGCCUCCCAAAUAGUAACGGAGGCGUGCGAAGGUAAGCUCAGAACGGUCAGAAAUCGUUCGUAGAGUGCAAUGGCAUAAGCUUGCCUGACUGUGAGACUGACAAGUCGAGCAGAGACGAAAGUCGGUCAUAGUGAUCCGGUGGUUCUGAGUGGAAGGGCCAUCGCUCAACGGAUAAAA